UACGUAGGGGGCAAGCGUUAUCCGGAUUUACUGGGUGUAAAGGGAGCGUAGGCGGCGAAGCAAGUCAGAAGUGAAAGCCCACAGCUUAACUGUGGAAUUGCUUUUGAAACUGUUUUGCUAGAUUGCAGGAGGGGCAGGCGGAAUUCCUGGUGUAGCGGUGAAAUGCUUAGAUAUCAGGAGGAACACCGGUGGCGAAGGCGGCCUGCUGGACUGUAAAUGACGCUGAGGCUCGAAAGCGUGGGGAGCAAAC
rnacentral:rRNA from 1 species